GUCUUCGUAGCUCAGUUGGUUAGAGCGUCUGACUGUUACUCUCUGGAUAACAAAGUCAGCCUAUCUCUUCCUUAGCGGGGAGGUUGUGCACCACGACAUGUGGCACAUCAGGAGGUCGACAGUUCGAACCUGUCCGAGGACG
rnacentral:tRNA from 2 species